GUGUGAAAUAACUGAAAACAUGUUUUAUAUUUUAGAUUUCUCAAAGUAGCCACUCUUUGCUUUUUUGAUAGCGCUGCAAACUUUUGCUGUUCUCUCAAUGAGCUUCAUCAGGUAGUCACCUGAAAUGGUUUUUACUUCACAGGAGUGCCUGAAGUAACCCUUACAAGGUACUUCUGUCAUCAAGAGCAAAGAGUGGCUAUUUUAAAGAAACUAGAAUAUAAAACAUGUUUUCAGUUAUUUCACACUUUUUUUAUAAGUACAAAAUUCUACAUGUGUUCAUUCAUAGUUUUAAUGCCUUCAGUGAUAAUCUACAAUGUAAAUAGUCAUAUAAAAAAAUAAAGAAAAGACAUUGAAUGAGAAGGUGUGUCCAAACUUUUGGCCUGUACUGUAUAUGUGUAUAUAUAUGUAUAUAUAUGUAAUUAUGUAAUUAUAUAUAUCUAUAUAUAUCUAUAUCUAUAUAUAUAUUUAUAUAUAUAUAUAUAUAUAUAUAUAUGCUCAAUUGAAUGUUUGUUUUGUGAAUUUUAUGAAUUUUGUGACGCCUUGUCCAGUCCCAUAUUAUGUCAAGGUAAGUAAGAGAUAAAAUUCUUUUUGGUGUAUCCUUAUGUUGCAUCUUGACCUUCUAAGAUUGUCUUUCUUAAGUCUCAGGUAUUCCUAGUAACAUGGAUACAUUAAGUAUACAGUCCUAUGAAAGAUCAUCAAGCAGUAAGUGUAAGUAAAAAUUGUAUGAUUUUGAAACCCCAAACUUUUUAUUAUGUAUGUAUGCAUAUAUAUAUAUAUAUAUAUAUAUAUAUAUAUAUAUAUAUAUAUAUAUAUAUAUAUUCCUUAUGCAACGCUGUGGCUAAAAAAAGCCACUUGGGACAAAAUUUAGCCACUAAUUUAUAUGUAACUUUUUUUUACUGCAGCAAAUGGGAUGAUUUUUUGUGCAGAUGCCUAUAUUGAUGGACACUUUGAAAAUAUGACUUCAAAAAUACACGCUCGGCAAAUUUUCAUCCUUUGUUAACGUUCAGUGGCCUUAAAAAAGCCACUAACUUUGACUGCUGUAAAAACAUCUUGGGUUAAUAUUUUUUUCCAUUUUUUUUCACAUAUCUCUUAAUUAACUUCUGCUUUGAUCAAAACUAGUAAAUGUUUCAUCUAAAAACAUUUUUUUUAACCCUUUGAGGGUCCAUUCAAAGCAUAAUGUCACUGAUAUGGUAGAAAAAUACACAAAAAUGACCUAUUUUCAUCAUAAAACAAUCAGAAACAGGUGAUUUUUUACAUGUUGCAUAGUCUUGGCCUUGUGAAGGAUUAGGAACCUCAGAAACUAUGAUGCAUUUUUGUGUAAUGUCUGAUUUUCAUAGAAAAUUUCAUAAAACACUCAUAAAAACACUUGCACUAUUCAUGUACACUGUGUGCACAAUUAUUAGACAAGUUGUAUUUUUGAGGAUAAAUUUUAUUUUUGAACAACUGCAGUGCUCUCGGUCAAUCCAAAAUGUUAAUAAACCUCAAACCUUAAUAUUUAAGGGAGUAAAAGUGAGAUUUUGGCUUCCUUAGGAGAAUUUCUAUGUGUGCACAAUUAUUAGGGGCAGCUAUUAGUGUGCAGAAUUAUUAUGCAACUAAAUUAAAAAUAAAAAAAAUUCCAUUUCACUUGUUUAUUUUCACUUGUUAAAGUGAGAAUGAUAAACAAACAACUCAAUUUACAAAUAAAAGCUGUUGAAAUUAAAAAAAAAAAACAGUGACCAAUGUAACUACCCUUCUUUUCAUUAACAGUCAUAAGCCUUCCAUUCAUGGAAUCUUUCAGUUUCUUGAUCUGUUGACGAUCAACUUUUUGUGUUGCAGUAACCAAAGCCUUCCAGACACUGUUCAGAGAGGUGUACUUUCUUCCUUCACUGUAAAUUUCCCUUUUAAGAAGGGCUCACAAGUUCUCAACAGGGUUUAGGUCAGGUGAAGAAGGAGGCCGCGUCAUUAUUCUUUCAUUUUUAAAGCCUUUACUGGCGAGCCACAUUGUGGAGUACUUUGUUGCAUGCAAUGGAGCAUUGUCCUGCAUAAAAAUCAUGGUUUUCUUGAAAGAUGCAGACUUUUGCCUGUACCACUGCUUGAAGAAAGUGUCUUCUAAAAACUGGCAGUGGAUUUGGGAGUUGAUUUUAAGUCCAUCUUUAACUCGAAAAGGUCCAGCUAGCCCAUCUUUAAUAAUACCAGCCCAUACCAGUACCCAGCCUCCACCUUGCUGGUGUCUGAUUCGAAGUGGAGCUCUGUGCCCAUUACUGAUCCAGCCACGGGUCCAUCCAUCCGGUCCGUCAAGAGUCACUCUCAUCCCAUCAGUCCAUAAAACCUUUGAAAAAUCUCUCUUCAGAUAUUUCUUGGCCAAGUCUUGACGUUUCAACUUGUGUCUUGUUCAGUGGUGGUCGGGUUUCAGCCUUCCUUACCUUGGCCAUGUCUCUGAGCACUGAUCAUCUUGUACCUCUGGGCAUUCCAGGUAGGUUGCAGUUCUGGAAUAUGACAGCACCGGAGGAUAAGCGGUUCCUGGUAGCUUCAUGUUUGAGUCUUCUCAAAUCUUUGGCAGUUAAUUCGCGUCUUUUUUUCUUAACACAUUUCUUGCGACCCUGUUGACGAUUUGCAUCAAAAUGUUUGCUGGUUCUGUGAUCACGCCCAAAUAUCUAAGCAAUUUCAAGAGUGCUGCAUCCCUCUGAAAGACUUUUUACAAUUUUUGACUUUUCAGAGUCAUUUAAAUCUCUUUUUUGGCCCAUUUUCCCUGAGGAAAAGAAGCUGCCUAAUAAUUAUGCACACCUUGAUAUAGGGUUUUGAUCUCCUUAGGCCCCAGCCUCCCUCAUUACACUAAUACACAUUACCUGAUAUGCUUAUAUCCAAUAAGCAUUCAAGUUUAUACAGCUUGGAGUUGGAAAAUAUGCAUAAAAAUGAUGAUAUGAUUAAAAUAUUCACUUGCCUAAUAAUUGUGCAUACAGUGUAUUUUCUAUACUCGUAUACUCGCAUUCUCUUUCGUUACCAGCUUGGUAGUAAUGUGCUGAGCCAGAACUCAGGUCUGUGUGUGUGUGUGUGUGUGUGUGUGUGUGUGUGUGUGUGUGUGUGUGUGUGUGUGUUCAGCGUUUGAAGCAAGACCUGCAAGAGAUCACUCUGUGUUCAUGCCAGAUGUGUUUCACACAUAACUCACAGGUUUUGUUAGUUCUUUUUGACACCAAAGCCGUUCCCAGGUCCUCCAGGAAAAGCCUCCUCCUGAAUCAGUUUUUCUGGUUCCAGGAGAGAUCCACAUCCCACAGCGAGGCAGUAGAUUCACCCCUCGAACAAAACAGGCCAGACAAUGAUGAUGGAUCCUGUGGGGGGUCAGAUUCCAUCCCAUCAGAAUCAAUGACCAUUGCAAGGGCCUCCGUGGUGCUGAAGCUUCUCUUCGUGCUUUCUCUUGCUCUUCUCAUGAGAAAAUGGUCAUUAGAAUCUGCAAGUUGUGGAUUGCAGGGGUGGAGCCAGGGUUGGGGCCCCCGAAGAUCAAAAGGCCAGAUAGCAGGUUUAUAAACACCUCCAGACAUAACAGCUCACUUUUGUUUUUGUUUAUUUUUUUCCACCUCUCUGUACUUCUGAGAGCUGAAGAACAUAGUUUACUUUUGUGGCCAGGUCAGUGCUGGGUCAUGACCUGCAGGCUCCUCCCCUCUCUCUCUCACAUGCACACACUCACAUGCACGCAUGCACACACGCACGCACGCAAACACCCAUUUUUUGGGGCUUCCGAUUUUGUCUGGCCUGUUUGGAAACACAUCUGGCAUGAACACAGAGAGAUCUCCUGCCGGUCUUGCUUCAAACAUUGAAAACACACACACACACACACACACACACACACACACACACACACACACACACACACACACACACACACACACACACACACACACACACACACACACACACACACACACACACAUUUACAUUUUUUCUCUCUUUACUCACUCAAUUUCUCACACAUUCACUCGCUUAGGCUUCCCAGGUUUCUUUCAAUCCUCUCCCCCGCUUCACCCCCAAAAGUUAGUUGUUUGUUCUGGUUUGAUACUCUGUUGUUGUAUAUUUGUGGCUUUUGUUUUAUUGCAUUUUGAGCGAUAAAGUAUGGUUUGGUUCUAAUGUUACAUUGGUUAAAUUUUUUCAUUACUUCCACCUGCUGGUAUGCAAAAAAAAAAUGCGAGUAUAUAAAAGACAUGAGUAGUGUAAGUGUAAUUUUUUUUUAUGACAACCAGAUGUUACACAAAAAUGUAUCAAGGUUUCUGAGGUUCCUAAUCCUUAACAAGGCCAAGAUUAUGCAACACAUUAAAAAUGGGCUAUUUCUGAUUAUGAAAAUAGGUCAUUUUUGUGCAUCUUUGUACCAUAUCAGUGGCGUUAUGUUUUGAAUGGACUCUCAAAGGGUUAAAAAAAUGUUUUGAGAUGAAAAAUGUACUAUAGUGGGGUGCCUGGACACUCAGUCAUUUCAAAUUCGUGUAAAAGUUUAUUUUUCACUUCCAGUUUGUAUAUUAUGGUCUAUAGAACAAUUUUGGUUCGAGUGUCAAGAAACCAGAUUGAAGAAAGAUAUGUUUUUUGCCCUAUUUCCAAAAUGGCCAAAAUCGGAAUUAUGUUUUUUGAAUAAUGUCUUGGUUUUCCCACAAUUGCUCUGUAAUUUUUGUUUUUGUGCUAGAUUAUGUCAAUACUGUGUGAGGAAUCAAUUGGAAUUCAAAUAUUUAUGUUUUAAAUAUUUUUGGUAUUAUAUAUUUCACUCAAAUGAGACAAAACAGUAAAUAGUGAGCUAAAACAUUUAUUACACAAUAAUACAAACUGUACUUAUGUUUUAACUGUACCACAACAUGGUGCCAUUAGCUUUAACAACUGGUCAUACAUUAUUUUACAAAAGAAAAAGAAACCUAUUAUAUACACAAUCUUGGAAAUAUGCUCCGGUGAAGCUAUUUUUCACAUUUACUCUUGCAAAGACGGGUGCACUUAAGUUUUGCUUUCACACAACUACACCGAGUGCAGGUUGGAACACAAGGGCUUUUGCAAUUGCACUUCACAUCCAACUUUAAUAUGUCCUUGGCGAGGGGUAGAGUGGUCCAAAUGGGAAGCAGUUUCCCGUCCUCCUCCUUCCAGCCAUGAUCAGUGGGGCUGUGGAUGGGCAUCAUGGACCUGAAUGAAAGAAAGAAUGAAUUAAUAAUUUGAUUGAUUGAUGGAUUGAUUGAUAAUCAAUCAAUUCUUUCAUUAGUUAGUUAAUUAGUCAAAUUGACAUGGUACACAAAUUCAUGGAGAAACAUAUACAUACAUAUGGGCUGUCGUCCAGAUGCUUGCUUGGAAGACGCUCCUUUUCAGAUGUUGAUCCAAAGCAUCACUAGUUGGGGGAAUUCUCUCCAUGUCCCUUGUUUUCUUUGAGAAUUGCAUCAUUCGCACACGAUCAACAUCAUUGCCCUCGUGUGUGUCAUCAGUGUACAGCCUACAGACAAAGUUUGUCCCCGCUUCUUUCAGCCUUGGAGAUGCUUUAUAUGGAGUGUCAACAAGAGUUGAAAAUUCCUCCAUGAGGGAUGGCACUUUGGGCAUCACCUUGCAGCAGGAUCACUUACCCUUGAAUUUGAAUGCCGAUGUGCUGUCUGAGCCAGUGAAUGCAUGGAAGAGAGCCAUGCCCUUGCAUGUAGUCAUGCCCAGGUUUGUAGCGAUGGUAUUCAGUGAAAUCAUUCUAGUUGUCUUUCCAGCUUUGAAGGAGAUCCAGACUUCCGCUGCUGCAUUCAGCACUACAACAACAUCUGUGUCUCCAGUAUGCACCAUCCCAAGUGAAGAUGUUUGGAGGGCGUGGAGAAGAUGUAUUAGGACACGAGUGUCAGCUUCCUCAUGGUUGCAUUGAUCCAUUGGUGGGCCAUCUCCAAUGUGGUGGACUUGAUCACCCGCAGUAAUGUAGACAUCCAUGUCAUCUGGAAACUGUGCAUCUGUUAACAACUUAUUUGACAGGAAUGAGAACAGCUCCUUCUUGUUGUCAAUGUUUGCCAGAAACUUUUGCCAAUUCGCCGGGAUUUUGGCAGUACCAGAUACACGUUGUCGGGUGCCUGUUCCUUGUUUUUCCCUUGUGCCUCCUUUGAUUGUUAGAUCACGAUACUGGUCCCAGACUAUGUCAACUCUCGCUGAUCGUUUCAAGUCAUGGUGAACUCUUGGGCAGAAUACCUUGUCGAAAUAGGAAUCAAAGUUCUUCCCAACGACAGUUGUACCAGGAAGUGAAUGUAUCAGUACUCCACCAUCAAUAACAAUGAAGUCGUAAACACUUGGUGCAACUAACUCCUCCUCAACAGAAAUCUCGGUACUCGAACUGGCUUCCAUAAUAUAUACCAACAAAUCUGACUUGGUACAAGAGUUGAGGGCUCCCUCAAAUGACAAUGCAGGUGGAUUCAUAGAGGAAAAAACCCUCCAAAUCUCCCCCACGGCUGUCCAGCACAAUAAAAGCUUUCCCAUAGAGCUCUGCAUGAUGUUUAAAGUGCUGCAUUUUCAGCUUAAUCGCUGUCUUCCUCGGUGCUUUCUUCUCAUGGAACAACAAUAAGUUGUUUCGCUUGAUCGAUGCUGUCAGAAGUGUGUCAUGUGAUUCAAGAACACUUUUCCUGUACUUGUUGUACUGCUCUUGUCCUGUAGACUCAAGUUGAUGGACAGAUACGGCAGCAGCCGCAGACUCACACAUCUUGUUGUCUAAUGUAACCAGGUCAUUACUGCCCUCCUCAAAUGGAUUUCCAAUGCUCAGCAAAUCCUCCAUCAGGUCUUUGACAUGGCGUUGAAAUCGAUGUUGAGAUGCAGGGCCUUCCUCAUGAUGAGGAAGUUCUUCCCUAUCAUCAUUGUAGUUUGUAGUGGUAAACUCCUCCAUGACACGGCUGAUUUCUGGGCCAGUCACGAUCCAGCGUUCCAACAUGCCAGGGUUUUCUGUCAGACCAAUUACACCACCAACCCCUUUCACCCUUUUGUUGGCUUGCUCGUGUGCCUGAUCGAUUGGUAUGGAUGAGAAACGGCGAUUGCUUAGAGUUAUUGUCCAGUGUCCAUCCUCAAACUCUGCCUUGAUGCUAUCUGGGAGACGUUCCAUGUCUCUGAUUAAGACUGGAAGCCACCCCGGGUAAUUCUGGUGAUCAAGAGCAAAGAACAAAGGCACAAGCAUCCGUAGAGUAGUGACCAUGAAGUUGAACUUUCAUUCACGAUGUGCCCGGAUAAACCUGAAGAUCAGGCAAAAAACAUAUCUUUCUUCAAUCUGGUUUCUUGACACUUAAACCAAAAUUGUUUUAUAGACCAUAAUCUACAAAUUGGAAGUGAAAAAUAAACUUUUACACGAAUUUGAAAUGAAAAAUUAAAAUUACAUAUACACAGAACCCCACUACUACUUUCGAUCAGGGCAGAGUUAAUUGAGAGAUGUGUGAAAAAAAAUCUGGAAAAAAUAUGAAUCUAAUAUGUUUUGACAGCAGUCAAUGUCAGUGGCUUUUUUAGCCACUGAGCGUUAAGAGGGGAUGUCUUUUGGAAAUCUGAUCCUACAAAAAAAAACUUAAAAGGCAUCAAAGUCAAUGAUAUUACUUAUCCUUUACAUAUUCAAGACUAUAAUACCCUGCAAGAGAUAUCCAGUUUCAGAUUAUGUUUUCUAAUAAAAAUCAGUCAUUUUCCUCCCAUUUUUUCCCAAUAUUAGUGACUUUAUGUUUUAAAUUGUCCUUUAAAGGGUUAAAAUUUUGAUUUUUAAUGACACAUUUACUAGUUUUGAAUAGAGCAGAAGUAAAUUAAGAGAUGUGUGAAAAAAAAUCUGGAAAAAAUAUGAAUGUCAGUGGCUUUUUUAGCCACUGAGCGUUAAAAAAGUAAGUUAAUCUAAUGGUUACACAAGGAAUAUAUAUAUAUAUAUAUAUAUAUAUAUAUAUAUAUAUAUAUAUAUAUAUAUAUAUAUAUAUAUGUAUAUAUGAAUAUGUAUAUAUAUAUAUUUAUAUGUAUAUAUAUGUGUUUAUAUGUAUAUAUGUGUAUAUAUAUGUAUAUAUAAAUAUAUGUGUAUAUAUAUAUAUAUACACGAAUAUGUAUAUAUAUAUAAAUAUAUACACAUACAUACAUAUAUACAUAUACAUAUAUAUAUAUAUAUAUAUAUAUAUAUAUAUAUAUAUUGCUUAUAAAUAUAUUGCUCAUAUAUGUAUGAGCAAUAAGUCUUCAACAAUGCUUAAUUGAAUGUUUGUUUUGUCUGUGUCUGUGUCUGUGAAUCAAACAACUAUUCAGUUUGUUUGCACUUAGCCAGCCAUCACUGAAAAUCUGUACUAACUAGCAUUUUUCAGACUAGUCAUUUGAAAUUGAUUUUGGGGAUACUUCGUUUUCUUGAUCAGGAUGCACUUGCUGUUGGAUUUUUUAAAAUAACUUUGUGCCCUCAUUUUCACUGUGUGGAUGGUAACCCUGUUCUUAUCUUAGUACCUCUGUUACAAAGAAGGAGUAUUUUAACAAAAUGCUCUUUGUGUGUGUAGUUUUUAUUAUGAUAUUGUUGGUUUUCUAUCUACCAUUGCUAGUUUUAUAUAUCUCAGUCUGUUUUUUUCUACUCUCUCAACAGCCAAAAAGAAAACAACUAAAUCUUUCAAACCUGGGCUCUUUUCAUGGAAAGGAAAGAAACAGAAGGUUGUCCAAUCAGGUAAAAAAAUCUCUGCAGACUGAUGCAGCAUAUCUGCACAACAGUGUCAAAGAGACAACAGUGGAAACAAUGAAUGCUUCAAAUGCAUAUCAAUUCCACAAAGACUGUUUUUUUAUCUUUGCAUACUAAUUUCCUUUGUCAGAUGUCCCUGAGACAUCUCCUCUGCCCACCAUGGACCCUUUGCUUCACUUGGUCUCCCUUCAGAAGGCAUCUGGCUGCUGGGACCUUAGUCCAGCUUUGGCUACAGCACUUGGCAAGACUAGUGAAGAGUUGAAAAAGCCAAAGCCUGCAUCGGUCUGUUAUUUUUAAAACAACAUUUGAAAUGUUGUAAGGGACUGAGUGUGAAUAAGAUUUCAUAAUCUAUUGCCUGCAAGAUCUUCAUCUCUCUAAUUUUGCUACUAAGGUGAAUAUGGAAAUAUGGGCCACUGUGCUGUCUCUGAUCUGGCUUCAUGGUUUCAAGAUGGACGUCAGGGAAGAGUGGGAGCUCCUGGCUAUGAAGGCUGUGUCAUGGCUCCGUGCCCAGAACUGUAAGAGCACUGAUAAACAUACAGAGCAUCUGGAAAGUAUUCAUAGUGCUACACUUUUUUUCACAUUUACCUUUAAAUUUGACACACAAUUACCCAUAAUGACAAAGUGAAAAAGUUUGUCUGAAACUCUUGCAAAUUGAUUGAAAGUUACAACUGAAAUAAAACAUGUACGUAAGUAUUCACAGUGUUUGCUCAGUACUUGGUCGAUUUACUUUUGGCAGCAAUUUCAGCCUCAAGUCUUUUUGAGUAUGAUGCCACAAGCUCGGCACACCUAUUUUUGGGCAGGUUCUCCCAUCCGUUUUUGGCAGAACCUCUCAAGCUAUACCAAGUUGGAUGGAGAGCAUUAGUGUACAGCCAUUUUCAGAUCUCUCCAGAGAUGUUCAAUUGGGUUCAAGUCUGGGCUCUGGUUGGCCACUCAAGGACUUUCACAGAGUUGUCCUGAAGCCACUACUUUGUUAUCUCAGCUGUGUGCGUAGGGUGUUUGUCCUGUUGAAAGAUGACUAUUCGCCCCAAUCCAAGGUCCAGAGUACUCUGGAGCAUGUUAUCAUUAAGGAUGUCUCUGUACAUUGCUGCAUUCAUCUUUCCCUUGACCCUGACUGGUCUUCCAGUUCCUGCUACUAAAAAACAUCACCACAGCAUGAUGCUGCCACCACCAUGCUUCACUGUAGGGAUGGUAUUGGAAAGGUGAUGAGUGGUGCGUGAUUUCCUCCAAACAUGACACUUGGAAAUUCAGGCCACAGAGUUCAGUCUUUGUGACACAUGAAAAUAAUUCUAAAUAAAACAGUAACACAAGAAAAUGUAAAAAAAAAAAAAAAGAAAGAAAAAGAAAAAGAAGUCUAGCUCUGUGAAUACUUUUCGGACACAUUGUAGAUAAAAUGUUGAGUGUGUGCACAGUUUAAAAUAAUCUUUUUGAUCACAUUCAAACCUCUGAUUGAUUUUUUUGUUUGUUUUAUUUUCAGCAUCAGGUCUAAAUGAGUGUGUGGAUGCUGGAAACGCACUCUUGGGCUGCAACGUCAAAAAAGACUCUCUGGGGUUCUGAGGUACUGACACAUGACUUCAAGAAUGGCGCAGAAUGAAGCCAUCCUAUAAUUACAGAUAAGUCAAUCCUAUAGCCUGUACUUGAUCAGCAUUAAACCAUAGUAUCUACACACCUGAAGGUGAUGUACAGUAGGUCCUUUGAUUAAUACUGCCUGCUGUCUAAUGUCUUCUGCUUUUUGAAUAAGCAAAGUGAGGCUUUUACUUUUCCUAAAAUGACAUUACUGAUAAAAAUGUCUACAGUGUGUGUUCUGUUGAGUACGUUAUUCGAUCUGUAGGGUGGUUUUAGACUUAUUUGAAACAUUAAAAUGUUUGAUGUAGGAAAGAGGCCUUUUGAAUACACAGUAGAUAUGAAGGACAACAUGCAAAGUGAAACUCAUUUUAAGUACUUAAACAAAACAGAGUUCACCCCAAAGCUCAGCCAAUCAUCCCAGUGGGGGUCAUCAUAAUACAUGAGUGCACUGCAAAAUGUGGGGUGUUAACAUUAAAUGAAGUGUUGCCUUUUUUUUUUUGGUUUUUUUUUUUGUUUGCAGUUUUUGCUAAUAAUUGUGGACAUAUUUCAUGUACAAAAACCCUUCCAAAUGUUGACAUAAAAAUAAUACAUGGAAAUUAAACCUUAAUAAAUGCUGUAAAGCAAGAUAAGCCUAAAAAUGAUCAAUUACACCAAGAUAAAGUAUUUCAUCAGUUCAGCAUGUCUACAUUAAAUUAAUUUUAAUUGUGGUGUCUUGCUUUUUAUGUAUAAAUUAAGGAAAAUCAAGAUUUUUGUCUUCGUCUGAUUUUUGAAAUUUUUAAGAAAAGUGCUUGUUUGUGUCAUGCAUUGUAGUCGGCUAACCAUACAACUUACAAUAAAGUUUGUGGCAAAAAUGCAGCCUCUCACAACUGACCUGUGUGGUUUGUCUCUUUUUGACUUGUGGACAAGUUUGUGAAUACAGUUUAACUGUAUAUGAAGGAAGUGAUUAGAUGGUUAAAUGUCAUUUUAGAAUUUCAAACAUAGCUGUUUUGGCUUUAGGUAGAAUUGGAAAUGACAAAAAACCUUUUGCUUAAUUUCUUUGCUUCUUCAUCCAUGAAUUCUUGUAGAAAGUAUUUUCUCUUCAGCUGAGUAGGAUAAUAAUGUGUUGAUGAAGUAGUAUAACAACACAACUUCCUCAACUCCUUCACUUCCUUAACAACCAUGAUCACACGUCACAGCACUAACCAAUCAGGGGCUAGGAACUCAAGGUAAAUGUGAAUGAACCACAGAAGCAUAAUAACAAUAGCACCGUGUUUGACUAUUUUCUGUCAAAAACAAACUUAAUGGCCUCAGCAAUACAGUCACCAUAGAGUCCAACAGCUAAGAGGCAGGAGCUCAAGUCCCUUUGAGCUCUAUCUGUAUAUGUGCCAGCUGGCCUGCACUGUAGUUAUACAACCAACUGCUCCAUCUGAGAGACAUACGUCUGCUAUAGGGUGUCUAAAAAGAUGUUAAUAGAUCCUUAUAACUACUUAACCAACAAAAUAAAAAAAACAUACAAACAAAAAACACACUUGAAACAUACCAGUCUGUAUUUAAUGAAUCUAUAUGAUCAAUGAAUCACACUUUUUGAAUUGAAUUAUUGAAAUCGAUUACACUUUUGACAAAACUCUUGUUUGAGCUGCACCUGCAUUUGUGUGACACAUUAGCACCCUCUGCUGUACGAAGAGAGCGAGAGAGGUGCUCACACCAUUCUUGGGACAAAUGCAAGUUGGAUCAGAGCCCCUCUGGUUGGCUAGUUUCAAGCAAGCAAACUCUGAUAGGCUAUUUGAUGUAGACAGGACCUCUUUUUUUUGCUGUGUUUUAACAGUUACUUUUAAAAUGGCUGUGGGGGCACACAAAAUCAGGC
rnacentral:lncRNA from 1 species